rnacentral:rRNA from 1 species
CACACCGCCCGUCACGUCAUGAAAGCUGGUAACACCUGAAGUCGCUGAGCUAACCCUUCGGGGAGGCAGGCGCCGAAGGGUGGGACUGGUGAUUGGGACG